rnacentral:rRNA from 1 species
GACGAACGCUGGCGGCGUGCUUAACACAUGCAAGUCGAACGGAAAGGCCCUGCUUUUGUGGGGUGCUCGAGUGGCGAACGGGUGAGUAACACGUGAGUAACCUGCCCUUGACUUUGGGAUAACUUCAGGAAACUGGGGCUAAUACCGGAUAGGAGCUCCUGCUGCAUGGUGGGGGUUGGAAAGUUUCGGCGGUUGGGGAUGGACUCGCGGCUUAUCAGCUUGUUGGUGGGGUAGUGGCUUACCAAGGCCUUGACGGGUAGCCGGCCUGAGAGGGUGACCGGCCACAUUGGGACUGAGAUACGGCCCAGACUCCUACGGGAGGCAGCAGUGGGGAAUAUUGCACAAUGGGCGGAAGCCUGAUGCAGCAACGCCGCGUGCGGGAUGACGGCCUUCGGGUUGUAAACCGCUUUCGCCUGUGACGAAGCGUGAGUGACGGUAAUGGGUAAAGAAGCACCGGCUAACUACGUGCCAGCAGCCGCGGUGAUACGUAGGGUGCGAGCGUUGUCCGGAUUUAUUGGGCGUAAAGGGCUCGUAGGUGGUUGAUCGCGUCGGAAGUGUAAUCUUGGGGCUUAACCCUGAGCGUGCUUUCGAUACGGGUUGACUUGAGGAAGGUAGGGGAGAAUGGAAUUCCUGGUGGAGCGGUGGAAUGCGCAGAUAUCAGGAGGAACACCAGUGGCGAAGGCGGUUCUCUGGGCCUUUCCUGACGCUGAGGAGCGAAAGCGUGGGGAGCGAACAGGCUUAGAUACCCUGGUAGUCCACGCUGUAAACGGUGGGUACUAGGUGUGGGGUCCAUUCCACGGGUUCCGUGCCGUAGCUAACGCUUUAAGUACCCCGCCUGGGGAGUACGGCCGCAAGGCUAAAACUCAAAGGAAUUGACGGGGCCCCGCACAAGCGGCGGAGCAUGCGGAUUAAUUCGAUGCAACGCGUAGAACCUUACCUGGGUUUGACAUGGAUCGGGAGUGCUCAGAGAUGGGUGUGCCUCUUUUGGGGUCGGUUCACAGGUGGUGCAUGGCUGUCGUCAGCUCGUGUCGUGAGAUGUUGGGUUAAGUCCCGCAACGAGCGCAACCCUUGUUCACUGUUGCCAGCACGUUAUGGUGGGGACUCAGUGGAGACCGCCGGGGUCAACUCGGAGGAAGGUGGGGAUGGCGUCAAGUCAUCAUGCCCCUUAUGUCCAGGGCUUCACGCAUGCUACAAUGGCUGGUACAGAGAGUGGCGAGCCUGUGAGGGUGAGCGAAUCUCGGAAAGCCGGUCUCAGUUCGGAUUGGGGUCUGCAACUCGACCUCAUGAAGUCGGAGUCGCUAGUAAUCGCAGAUCAGCAACGCUGCGGUGAAUACGUUCCCGGG